rnacentral:RNase_P_RNA from 1 species
GCUCGGAAAAUUAAGUAUGUAAUAGCUAAAACUUGUCAGGACUGGAAAGUAGCAGCAAUAAAGCUCAAUUACAAAGUUGUAUUUUCCGGGUUUUUGCUCUUUGAUAUCUAUAUUUAAAAUUUAAACAUCAAAUAAUUAUUGUAAGCAAAUCAAAACUGAAUUUUUAUUACAAAUAUUUAAUGCAAAAAUAUUAA